CUCCUUUUCUCGUCCUGCCUCCACCCCGUUCCACAGACUGCCCCCAAAUCUCGUUCUGCCUCCAAACCUAAAUCCUCCACCACCGCCGCCGCCGCCGCCGCUCGAGCCCUCUCUCGCCGCUCAUGCUCUCUCCCCGUCCGGCUACGUGCUCUCCUGGCGGCGAGUCUGUAGCCCCGUCUCCCGCUCGUUCUCCAGUGUCUCCACCGCCGACCCCACACCAUCCUGCCACGGCCACGCGCUCCACUGCUGCUCCCCGGCUAGUGCUCUCUCCGGCCAGCCACCACGCGUAAGCUUCCAGCGAGGCUGACGCCACCCUGCCUGGCCCGUACUCCCCAUUCUCCACCGUCGUAUCCACCAUUGCCAUCGAAAUAGUACAGAAGAGAUCUUGGCGCCGGCGAGAGGGGGCUCGGGAUAGGGCUAGUGAGGGGCUUUGGAUAUAGAGGAGAAAAGAUGCCCUCGGUUCCUCCCCUUUCGGCCUUCCCCGGCCGGAUCUGCUCCCCUUCAUCCACCCCGCCUGAAUCCCCGAGCUCCUCCCUCAGGAAUGUCUGAAGAGAGUUAUCCCCUAUGGGCACAUGGAUAUUGCAUAAUCAGUCUUUUCAAGGGAAUAAUUUGCCUAAAGAAGGUGAAGCAAUCAGCUAAGCAAUGAAACUGGAGUCAAGUAAAGAGAAAUAUUCCAGUCGCAAUCAAGAGGUGAAUCGUAAACAUUCUGAAGGAGACAAGUCAUCCACCCAUCCAACAGAAAGUGUAGACAGUUUAAAGCUAACAGCACUUGAUCUGGGCAAUAACAGCGCAUCAGUUUCAUCUAGUUCUGACAUAAGAAGAUAUUCAAGCUGGAGGAUGUGGCGAUGGGAAUAUGGAUCAAUGAGAUGAAGAAGGAAGGCUUUGAUGUCAAGUACGAGAAUGAUGGAAGGAUCUUGGUGGGUAUCUAGUUGCCCAUUACCAUGUGCCUCUAGGGCAAAUUCCAGAAAACAAAGCGACAUAUUUUUUGCUCUCAAACAAUGAACCAUAAUGUUUGCUCUAGUUAAUUAAUUAAAUUAGUUUAUGUAAAAUUUGGAUGUGAAAAGUAAUGAAUGUGUGUUAUUAUUGUUUG